UACGAAGGGGGCUAGCGUUGUUCGGAAUCACUGGGCGUAAAGGGCGCGUAGGCGGCUUUAUAAGUCGGGGGGUGAAAGCCUGUGGCUCAACCACAGAAUUGCCUUCGAUACUGUAGAGCUUGAGACCGGAAGAGGUAAGUGGAACUGCGAGUGUAGAGGUGAAAUUCGUAGAUAUUCGCAAGAACACCAGUGGCGAAGGCGGCUUACUGGUCCGGUUCUGACGCUGAGGCACGAAAGCGUGGGGAGCAAACAGG
rnacentral:rRNA from 1 species